GAUGAACGCUGGCGGCGUGCCUAACACAUGCAAGUCGAACGGAACUUAAAAGAGCUUGCUUUUUUAAGUUUAGUGGCGGACUGGUGAGUAACGCGUGAGCAAUCUGCCCUAAAGAGGGGGACAACACCGGGAAACUGGUGCUAAUACCGCAUAAUGUGUCAGAACCACAUGGUUUUGACACCAAAGGAGAAAUCCGCUUUAGGAUGAGCUCGCGUCUGAUUAGCUAGUUGGCGGGGUAACGGCCCACCAAGGCGACGAUCAGUAGCCGGACUGAGAGGUUGAACGGCCACAUUGGGACUGAGAUACGGCCCAGACUCCUACGGGAGGCAGCAGUGGGGGAUAUUGCACAAUGGGGGAAACCCUGAUGCAGCAACGCCGCGUGAAGGAAGACGGUCUUCGGAUUGUAAACUUCUUUUCUCAGGGACGAUAAUGACGGUACCUGAGGAAUAAGCCACGGCUAACUACGUG
rnacentral:rRNA from 1 species